GGAGGAGGAUGCCGAGGAAGUGGGGAGCGCGAGACGCCAAAAGGCGCCCUACCUUGGCCUGACGUUACCUGUGUUCCACUGCAGGUGCACGCCUCAAACCGCCCCCAGGCACACUUGGAGAGCAGGCGAUGGACCGGGCAGAGCGACUGGAGUGGCUAGAAGCGGUGGUCGGGAAGCAAAGGCUGGGAUUGUUCCUUCGUGCAUGGAUACUCUGACCUCUCCCCCUACUCUCCUGUUCCCAGGUCGCCGAGCACGUGGUACCACCCCCACUCCCCCGCCUCCCUGUGUCCCAGCGGGAGAAUCUGUCUUCGAGUGGAAUAAGAAAGAGGAAGACUCCAAGAAACACAUAUAUGGAGGGUAUUCGACAUACAGAAACUCACAGUAUUUCGGGGACAAACUGCCCUCACGAACAAAGUGAUUCUGGUGUGUUUGGCUCCAGGGCCCGCAGAAGUAGGGAGGCAAAGACCAAGUGUGCUUUCCUCAACGGCAGGUGUGCGCUCACCUGGAGCAGUUUCAGAUAUGUAGCAUCACAACUCCUUUGUCACCGGGAAGGAGGGCUGCCAGCCUCCUCCCUCGCCUUCGCCUCACGCCUGUACAGACCCCGAGGAAUUCCUGUGAUAUUUGCUGAACGUUUCUUUUUUCAUGAGCCUCAGCAAGUUCCAUUCCCUUCUGAAUAGUACUGUACCAAGCUUUGAUUUUUCUGCUCUCACACCCUGCGGAUUAAAUAAUCCAUAGGUUCUGCGCCUUUCGAGGGGAAGAGCCGCUUCAGGUUGUAACUCCAAAAUGAUCUCAGGUAAUAAUCUUUUCUCCCGUUCUGUAGCACAUUUCUAAUGUAAAGAUUGAUUAAAUCGUAGAACAACCGAUUUGAAUGGGACCUGAGAAACCCUCUCAUCUAACUUCCCACCCAAUGCUCUGGAGUUCCAGCUGAAACAUCUGUGACAGUCACCAGAUUUUUACUUGAACAUUUUAAACCUCACUUCCACAGUGUAUUCCAUUUUUGAAGAGCUGUUAAACAGUCUUCAUUUUGAGCUUAAAUCCCACCGGUCCCACUUCUGCCUUCCGGCAUUACCUGGCAUGUUAGUAUUCUUUCACAAGACAGCAUCCACACAUCUGAAGGCAGUCGUGCUGUCUGUGCUGCCUGACACCACCCUCCCACCCACCACUGAGCCAGUCCAGGCCUUGAGCCUGAACCAAAAAGUAACUAGUGAUUGCUUUCUAAGGCCCUUCAACAUUCUGCUCAUCUUCUUUUUGAUACACAUUGGUUUGCUUCUAUCCCUUUUAAAUGAUGGUAUCUGGAAUAGAAACAGUGCUUCCUGUGUGCUCCAACCAGCACAGACUACAGCCGCACCCUUGUUCCAGAUGGCAGUCUUCUAUUAACACUGCUUAAGAUUGUAUUGGCUUUUUUCGGUGGUCCAGUGCCGAGGCCCAGGCCACAGCCUUCUUGCCAGAACUCUGGUACUGGGUUUUAGGAAAUGCAGGUUCCUAGGAGAGAUGUAACUAAGGCUCCUGAAAUAGAAGUGAUCCCAACUGAGCAACAGAGGAGAUGUGAUCUGCAUUCUCUCCCGUCUCUCAAGGGUGACUUGAAUUUACCCACAUGACAUGGCAUUUCUCAGUUUCAACAGUGAGGGGGCCUUAAGUGAAGGAUAGCUCUGACUGACACUGAGGAGUGGGACCAAAAGUAAAACAACAAAUGCUUAAGAACUACUGGGUUCUAAUUCUAAGGCAAAACUCUCAAGGGACCCAUGCUGCCCUCCUGAUAUCAGCUUAGUGUCCAGAAACCAAUGAAUGGUAUCCUCAGCAGGGAAUCCCCACCAACACUACAGGCAAAAAUUAGCCCAGGUGCUGAGCUUGCUCCAGCUAAAUAUGGAGUAGAGGAGGUUGUAGCUCAAGUGGCAGAGCACACGCUUAGCAUGCGUGAGGUCCUGGGUUCAAUCCCAGAACCUCCAUUGAAAAACCAAAUAAAUAAAUAAGCCUAAUUACCUCCCCUCUAGAAAAAAAAGAAAAUUAAAAAGAAAAAAAGAGACUAAUUUCAGGCUAAAUAUGGGAUUUUGUUCCCCCUUACCUAACACUGAGCUUCUGUCCCCUUCCAGUUGGACUCCAUCUAGCAACCUCAAUUCAUGCCCGUGCCUUAUUAGAACCUGAAUGCUUCGCCACCAAGUUUCCUGAGCCUGAUUAUAAACAAGGUCCAGCGUACCCACUUUGGGCUCAUAUCAGCCUGGCAGCCAAUGAAAACCUGAAAGUUAGGUAUUAGCCAUAUUUUCUGCACUGAAAUUGGGCUGCUGGGUUUUUUUAAAGUCUAGUUUUGCAGUUAUCCCUAUUAAAUGUUAUCUGCUUCAUUCCAACUGCCUCAUUUUGACUCUGUCACCUUGUGCAUUAUUUAUUACCUCUAGUUUGGUGUCAUCUGAAAUUUGAUAAGCAUGCCUUCUGUCUCCUCUAAGCAGCUGUCAAAAAGUGUUAGAAUGUGUAUGUUGGUGAAACGAAUAAUAAAGAAGCCAACUCGAGUAAA